rnacentral:rRNA from 1 species
GAUGAACGCUAGCGGCAGGCUUAACACAUGCAAGUCGAGGGGUAUAGGUUUUCGGACCUAGAGACCGGCGCACGGGUGCGUAACGCGUAUGCAAUCUACCUUUCACAGAGGGAUAGCCCAGAGAAAUUUGGAUUAAUACCUCAUAGUAUUAUGAAGUGGCAUCAUUUUAUAAUUAAAGUUCCAACGGUGAAAGAUGAGCAUGCGUCCCAUUAGCUAGAUGGUAAGGUAACGGCUUACCAUGGCGACGAUGGGUAGGGGUCCUGAGAGGGAGAUCCCCCACACGGGUACUGAGACACGGACCAGACUCCUACGGGAGGCAGCAGUAAGGAAUAUUGGUCAAUGGACGGAAGUCUGAACCAGCCAUGCCGCGUGCAGGAAGACGGCCCUAUGGGUUGUAAACUGCUUUUGCAGGGGAAUAAACCUCGAUACGUGUAUCGAGCUGAAUGUACUCUGAGAAUAAGGAUCGGCUAACUCCGUGCCAGCCGCCGCUGUAAAAC